rnacentral:tRNA from 1 species
GAGGGUAUAGCUCAGUGGUAGAGCACGUACUUAGCAUGCACGAGGUCCUGGGUUGGAUCCUCCAAUACCUCCA